UACGUAGGGUCCGAGCGUUGUCCGGAAUUAUUGGGCGUAAAGGGCUCGUAGGCGGUCUGUUGCGUCGGGAGUGAAAACUUACAGCUUAACUGUGAGCGUGCUUCCGAUACGGGCAGACUUGAGGUAUUCAGGGGGAGAACGGAAUUCCUGGUGUAGCGGUGAAAUGCGCAGAUAUCAGGAGGAACACCGGUGGCGAAGGCGGUUCUCUGGGAAUAUCCUGACGCUGAGGAGCGAAAGUGUGGGGAGCGAACAGG
rnacentral:rRNA from 1 species